rnacentral:tRNA from 1 species
AGCCCUGGGGUGUUACAUGCUAGAUUGCAAAUCUAGAGAGACAGAUUAGCGUCUGUCAGGGCUU